AAGAGUGCAGGUAGCGUGUGUAUUUAUAUUUAUUUAUGGGAUAUUCAAUGGCUAUUAAUUUAUUGGGUAGGUGGGGGUGGAUUUCGAAUCAAUUCUAUUUCUAUGUGCCUCGAUAGCUACAUUUCAACUUGUAUUUUUCAUCUUCAAUUAAAACUCAAUUGCAAUUCCAACAAAUUCUUAUCUGGAGGACAAAGAUGUUUAGCUUAACAAUAUCGGUUUUAAGUUAAACAUCAAAAGUUUAUUCGAUGGUAUAAGUUUAAUAUUUUGUAAUGAUCUCUUGAAUUAGUCGGUCCAUGAUCCGCAUGUUUUCUAAAGAUAGAGAGAGAAAAAAUGAGCUUUUUCGAUAUAAAUAUUUGGAGGAAAGAAAUUGACUUUUGAGAAAGCACUCUUAAUAAGGUUUUAGGGUGUGCAUCAUGACAAUGGUGCAUGUCAUUGUCCAUUUUAUUAUUGAUUUUUAUUUUAUUAUGAAGAAGGCGUGUUUUAAUGGGGGGAAAAGGUUAUUGCGUAUUAGUAAUCGUAUUUAUAGUAUUUCUAAAUUUGAACAUGAUAAGCUAUGCUUGAAUAAGGAAUCGGUAUGUAUAUUGGUUAAAAAAAAUGGAAUAGGGAUUUUAUCUUUUUGACUUAAAAGGGAAUUGGUAUAGGAAUAUAGUGCUGCUGCCAUUUCAGAUUAAUUUGGUAAUGGAUUGGGUCAGAAGAGAUUAUACUCAGCAACGAGUUGGAGUUCUUAUCCAUCUAAAGUCAAUUAAUGUUGUCAAAGACUCAAAGGGAAGCAUAUGUCCCUACAUUCUUCAAAGACUCUGAGAAAUGUAAGAAUUAAAUAAAGGGCAUAAUCAAAUCUUGGAAAAACAAGCUUUAUUUCCAAGAAAGGGUAGACCUUGACAACUAUAAAGGGAACAAAACGUGAGGAUUAUUUUUUCCAUGAAAAUUGGGCUAAAAUAGCUGGCAAUACUACCCCACAUGGUGUACCUUCCUGACCGGAAUGCUUCAACAAAGGUGACCCCAAUUCUUUCUCAAUGAAUCUUUGCUCAGGUAAGGCUCACGCCAUUUUUUUAAAUAUCGUAUCGUGACUCACGAGCAACUGUUCCUUUGGUGCACGUGAAAUGUGAUGUAAUAAUAAUAAAAAUAAAAUGAUAUUUGUACCAUUAUUUAAUUUAUUUUAAAAUAA